rnacentral:lncRNA from 1 species
GUCCGAGGAUGAUUUUAAGUACCCAGGCUCCCGUGAACUGACUGCCAUGGCUAAGCGUCUAGUAGAAUACUACCCAAUGCUGUGAGACAAGUCUACGUCCAAUACACCUGAAUGGGAAAUGGUGAAGAAGCACUUGUUGAAAAGGGUUCAGAAUGUGACAACUCCAAAAAAGAAGCAAGGUCCAACCCCAUCAAGAAAAGGACCUAGAAGCCUAAAAUUCCAGAGCAGCCAGGUGACGUGCACUGAAGAGAGUGAUGAACCUUUCUCCUCCCCUGCUUCAGUCUCUUCAGCUGCUUCAUCAGUCGCCUCGUCGUCUUCCUCCACUGUGAUCCUAGAGAAGUCAACUCCUUCUACAAGUACUUCCCAAGAGGUGGAUCUCUUUAGUGCUAUAGAGAGCCCACAGAGCCAAGCGAGACACUAUAAAACUCUGCAGGAUUUGUACAAAACUAAGAACAAACCCAACAAGGAAGAUGUAUCCCAGCUGCUGGAAUUGGAGUUCCAAUCUAGACGAGCUUUCAUUGACUCUGAUGUGAUGAAGGAACAGGACAGGCCUAUGAAGAUACUGCAGGCUUAUCCAUGUUUUAAAGAACUUGGCCAUAUCAUCGAUGAACUCCAGCGAAUCCUUGAUAAAGGAAACCCCUUCUUCACAAUGGAGCUGAAGAAACGUUGGCUGAGAUUUUUUAACCAGGCACAGUUUUAUGGGGUGUUCAAAAAAAUCAUAGGACCACCACUGCAGGACCAAGGUAAGGAUGAUUUAUUUGCUGUUACCCACAUACACAAAGACCUAAAAUUAUUAUGAUUUAUUAUUUUUGUUUAAACAGUAAAGAAUGCACUUGCUGUCCUGAAAGUACUGCCUCAGAUGUUCCCUUCGCAUGUAGCUCUGCCGAAGAGGUUGGGACACCCAAGUGAUGCUUUGAUUCACAUUUUGAAGUCAGCAGAGGACCCCAACACUUACCUUCAAUCAAGACCCUUGGUCAGCCCUGUGGUGAUUGUCUGUGAGACAAACUGCAUCCUGGUCAUUGGAACAGUUCCUCUGCUGACUUUCCCCAAAGAAGACCUCAGUGAAAGCGUGAUGUAUCUUCUUGGCUGUUAUUACACCUUUCACCUCACAUAUCCCAAGUGCAUUGCUACCCUCCUGUCUGUGCUACAGACAGAGGUUUUGUUAGAUGCCAUCCAUGAGAAGGACAUGACUACUUCCUACAAAAAAUCUAUGGCUGAAUGGAGAAAGUUUCAUGAAUAAGACAGUUUAAACAUCAGUUUUAGUUGAAGUAGUUCAGCAGCAUUAAGUCCCUCCUUUUAAAAUGUGGCUCCUGUUCAAUGAUGUUAAACUACAGUCGUGUGGGGCUAUUGGUUAUUGCUCUGGUUUGUGGUCUUGACAUUGUGAUUUUUGCACAAUAAAAGUGUAGAAAGAUAUGUCUCA